rnacentral:rRNA from 1 species
GACGAACGCUGGCGGCGUGCUUAACACAUGCAAGUCGAACGGUGAAGGGACCGGUUUUUGCUGGUUCUGGAUGAGUGGCGAACGGGUGAGUAACACGUGAGUAACCUGCCCCCUUCUUCUGGAUAACCGCAUGAAAGUGUGGCUAAUACGUGAUAUUCUGCGCCUGCUGCAUGGUGGGUGUGGGAAAGAUAUUGUUUCGGUGGGGGAUGGGCUCGCGGCCUAUCAGCUUGUUGGUGGGGUGAUGGCCUACCAAGGCGGUGACGGGUAGCCGGCCUGAGAGGGUGGACGGUCACACUGGGACUGAGACACGGCCCAGACUCCUACGGGAGGCAGCAGUGGGGAAUAUUGCACAAUGGGCGCAAGCCUGAUGCAGCGACGCCGCGGGAGGGAUGGAGGCCUUCGGGUUGUAAACCUCUUUCGCCAGUGAAGCAGGCCUGUCCCUUUUGUGGGUGGGUUGACGGUAGCUGGAGAAGAAGCGCCGGCUAACUACGUG